AUCGCUUCUCGGCCUUUUGGCUAAGAUCAAGUGUAGUAUCUGUUCUUAUCAGUUUAAUAUCUGAUACGUCCUCUAUCCGAGGACAAUAUAUUAAAUGGAUUUUUGGAGCAGGGAGAUGGAAUAGGGAGCUUGCUCCGUCCACUCCGCGCAUCGACCUGGUAUUGCAGUACCUCCAGGAACGGUGCACCCCCU
rnacentral:snRNA from 12 species